rnacentral:tRNA from 1 species
GCCAAGGUGUGGCUCAGUGGUAGAGUGCUUGCCCAGCAUGUGUGAGGCACUGGGUUCAAUUCUCAGCACCGCA